CGUACCUAUCACAUGUAUAAGCCCCUGUUGCCUGAAAAUAAUAGGAUAGCCGGAGAGACAUAAGUGAUUAAUAUAGUGAGGGCUAAGUUGAACCAACUUAUAUAGGGGAAAUAAUGUUGUAGAAAGGGUUGAGAACCGGAAAAAGCAUCGAUACUGAAGAAAACAAAAACAGUAUCAGUAUCAACAAGAAAAUAACAAACAAAGAAUGUGUACCGG